rnacentral:lncRNA from 1 species
GGAGGAUAUCGAUAACAAUGCGGAAAUGCCACACGACACAGCCCUGACCGGGGUGUCACAAUUCAUGAGGGUCUAUAGGAAAAUAAUACAAGUCUGCUAAAUCCAUAAACUAGUACAAAUGUUUGAAGGAGAAAUACAAAUGAUAAAAGAGUAGAGACACAGGGCUGCGAACGUCAACAACUACCUCGUAGUCUCUGAGCGCUCGCCUAAUACUGGAGGAAAUCAGCACUCGGGAGCAGAACUAGCUAUGCCUAAAUCUGCACACAGGGUACAUGGAGUAAAAUGAGUACUCUAACUCAGUGAGUAACAAAUAUAAAUACCAACUGAAAGUAAGAAAACACGUAAGGCACAAGGCAUUCUAUAAUGAAGCAGUAAAAUCAUUUGAAAACAGUAAAACAGUGAAAAGUCAAGUAAAAUCCUCUUUCAACAAGUAAACAAGUAAUUGACAGGUAGUUAAGAAAAAGUGAACAAAUAAAAGUUUGCCCCUCGGGCACAGCAUCAACAAAUUCGCCCCUCGGACAACAUCUCAGAACAAUGCUAGCCCCUCGGGCUCAAUCUCAGAACAAUACCAGCCCCUCGGGCUCAAUCUUACCUCCCAACAAUUCCCCUUGAAUCCCUCUUCAAUCUCCUUAAAAAAUCUCCCCAAAUGGCCAAAUAUGGAGGAAAUAAACCUAAUCCUCGCGGACAAGAUAAGUUUACAACAUUUAUGGCCAGGCAUAUAUUUCCUUCAUCGCGAUCGCGAAACAUCCCUCACGAUCACGAAGAACAAAACUUCAGCUCCAAGAAUUUAUUCUAUGCGAACGCGAUGCCCAUGCAACCUUACACUACGUGAUCGCGGACACACCUCCGCGUUCGCGAUGCACAAAGAACCAUCCAAGACUCAGGUCCAUUUAACUCUAUGCGAACGCGACUACCCUCCCACGUUCGCGAUGAACAACUGGACAGCUUCCUCAAAUCCUUCUACGCGAUCGCAAAGCGCAAAAUCCUUCAACAACUGAACCUGCAAUUUUUUGCAGUUUUUCCAACUUCAAAUGAUCCGAUUGACCACCCGAGACUCACUCGAGGCCCCCGGGACCUCAACCAAAGGAACCAACACAUCCUACAACCAUAUUCAAACUUGUUCCAAUCAUCAAAACUCCUCAAAAAACAUCAAAUCACCCAAAACACAUAGGAUUCAAGCCUAAGUUUCUAAAAUCUUCCGAAAUACGCUUUUGAUGAAAAACCCAACCAAACCACGUCCGAAUGACCUGAAAUUUUGCACACACAUCCCAAAUGACACAACGAAGCUACUGCAACUCUUGAAAUUCCAUUCCAACCCCUAUAUCAAAAUCUCGCCUAUCAACCGGAAAUCGGCAAAAUAUCAACUUCGCCAAUUCAAGCCUAAUUCUACUCCGAACCUCCAAAACCCAUUCUGAUCACGUUCCUAAGCCAUAAAUCACCUCCCAAAGCUAAUCGAACCAUCGGAACUCACAUUCGAGCCCUCUAACACAUAAGUCAACAUCCAGUUGACUUUUCUAACUUAAACUCCCUUAAAAGAGACUAAGUGUCUCAAACCUUACCAAAAUCAUUCCAGAUUCGAUCCGACCAACCCGAUUCCAUAAAAUAAGGAUAACGAAGUAUAAAGUAGCAGAAAUGAGGGAAACAGUGAGAUGACUAGCCGGGUCAUCACAUCCUACCCAACUUAAACAAACGUUCGUCCUCGAACGAGUCAAGAAACAUACCUGAAGCCUCAAACAUGUGAGGAUAUCUGCUCCGCAUAUCCCGCUCGGUCUCCUAGGUAUCCUACUCCAUGGGCCGUCCUCUCCACUGCACUUUUACUAAUGCUAUAUCCUUUGACCUCAACUUUCGAACCUGACGACCCAAAAUAACUACUGGCUCCACAUCAUAGGUCAGAUCAUCAUCUAACUGAAUCGUGCUGAAAUCCAGAACAUGAGAUGGAUCCCCAAUAUACUUUUGGAGUAUGGAAACAUGAAAGACCGGAUGCACACUCGACAAGCUGGGUAGCAAAGCAAGAUCAUAAGCCACCUCCCCAAUCCUCCGAAGCACCUCAAAAGGCCCAAUGAACCGAGGACUCAAUUUCCCUUUCUUCCCAAAUCUCAUAACACCCUUCAUGGGUGAAACCUUCAGUAGAACCUUCUCGCCAAUCAUGUAGGACACAUCUCGAACCUUCCUAUAAGCAUAACUAUUUUACCUCGACUGCGCUGUACGAAGCCUCUCCUGAAUCACCUUCGCCUUCUCCAAAGCAUCCUUCACCAAAUCAGUCCCCAAUAGCCUAGCCUCACUGGGCUCAAACCAACCAACUGGAGAUCUACACCGCCUCCCAUACAAAGCCUCAUAUGGAGCCAUCUGAAUACUCGACUAGUAGUUAUUGUUAUAAGCAAACUCUGCAAGCGGUGGAAACUCAUCCCAUGACCCUCCAAAAUCAAUGACACAAGCACGCAACAUGUCCUCCAACAUCUAAAUGGUACACUCGGACUGCCCAUCCGUCUAAGUAUGAAAAGUUGUCCUCAACUCAAACUAAGUACCCAACUAUCUCUGCACAGCCCACCAAAACUAUGAAGUAAACUAAGUACCUCUAUAUGAGAUGAUGGAACUGGGACACCAUGCAAACGAACAAUCUUCCUGAUAUAGAUCCCUGCCAAUCGCUCUGAAGAAUAGGUAGUACACACAGGAAUAAAGUGCGCGGACUUGGUCAACUGAUCCACAAUCACUCAAAUAGCAUCGAACUUCUUUAAAGUCCGUGGAAGCCCAACAACAAAGUCCAUAGUGAUCCUCUCCCACUUCCACUCAAGAAUAUCCAUCUGUUGAAGCAAAUCACCCGGUCUCUGAUGCUCAUACUUCACAUGAUGACAAUUGAUACACCGAGCUACCAAUCCCACAAUAUCUUUCUUCAUUCUUCUCCACCAAUAGUGAUACCUCAGAUCCUGAUACAUCUUUGCGGCACCCGGAUGAAUAGAAUACUGUGAGCUAUGGGCCUCCUCCAGAAUUAACUCCUGAAGCCCAUCCACAUUUGGCACGCAAAUCCGGCCCUGCAUCCUCAACACCCCAUCAUCACCGAUGAUCACAUCUCUGGCAUCAUCAUGCUGAACUUUGUCCUUAAGGACUAGAAAAUGCAGAUCAUUAUACUGCGCUCUCUGAUGCGAUCAUAUAAGGAAGACCGAGAAACCACACGAGCCAACACCUGACUGGACUCCGAAAUAUCCAACUUCACAAACCGAUUGGCCAAGGCCUGAACAUCAACUGCAAGAGGUCUCUCCCUAUGCCAAACUCCCAUACUCACUGCCUUUUGGCUCAAAGCAACGGCCACCACAUUGGCCUUUCCCAAGAUGGUACAAUAUAGUGAUAUCAUAAUUCUUAAGCAACUCCAACCAUCUCUGCUACCUCAAAUUAAGAUCCUUUUGCUUGAACAAAUGCUGAAGACUGCGAUGAUCAGUGAACACCUCACAAGAUACGCCAUACAGGUAAUGCCUCCAAAUCUUCAACGCGUGAACUAUGGCAGCCAACUCCAAAUCAUGAAUGGGAUAGUUCUUCUCAUGGGGAUUCAACUGACGAGAAGUAUAAGAAAUAACUCUACCCUUCUGCAUCAACACAGAACCAAUCCCAUCUCUCAAAGUAUCACAAUACACGGUAUAUGAACCUGAAGCUGAUGGCAAAACCAACACUGGAACUGUGGUAAGAGCUGUCUUUAGCUUCUGAAAGCUCUCCUCACACUCUCCGACCAUACAAAUGGAGCACCCUUCUGAGUCAACUUGGUCAAGGGCGAUGCGAUAGGUGAGAAUCCCAGAACAAACCGGCGAUAAUAGCCCUCCAAACCUAGAAAGUUGCGAAUAUCUAUGCCUGAGGACAGUCUGGGCCAACUCUGAAUAGCCUCUAUCUUUUUCGGAUCAACCUGAAUACCCUCGUUGGACACCACAUGCCCCAAGAAAGCCACUGAACCAAGACAAAACUCACACUUGGAGAAUUUUGCAUAAAGCUUCUCCUCCCUCAAUCUCUGCAACAUAACUCUCAAAUGCUCCGCAUGCUCUUCUUGGCUACGCAAAUAUACCAGGAUAUCAUCAUUGAAGACUAUGACGGAUGAAUUGAGAUAAAGCCAGAACACACUAUUCAUCAAAUUCAUGAACACUCCUGGGGCAUUGGUCAGCCCAAAAGACAUCACCAAGAACUCAUAAUGACCAUAUCAGGCUUUGAAAGUUGUCUUAAGAAUAUCUGAAUCCCUGAUCUUCAGCUGGUGAUAACCUAAACAAAGAUCAAUCUUUGAGAACACCCUCGCUCCCUGAAACUGGUCAAAUAGAUCAUCAAUGCGAGGCAAAGGAUACUUGUUCUUAAUUGCUACAUUAAAUUGCCUAUAAUCAAUGCACAUUCUCAUUGUGCCAUCCUACUUCUUCACAAAUAGAACCAACGCAACACAAGGUGACACACUAGGCCGAAUAAACCCCUUAUCUAGGAGCUCCUGAAGCUGCUCCUUUAACUCCUUCAACUCCGAUGGUGCCAUAUGAUACGGCGGAAUAGAAAUGGGCUGAGUGCCCGGCACCAAGUCAAUACCAAAAUCAAUAUCCCUGUCCGGUGGCAUGCCCGGCAGGUCUGCAGGAAACACAUCGAAAAAAUCCCUCACAACUUAAACAGAAUCAAUAUUGGGAGUCUCGGCUUUGACAUCCCUCACAAACGCUAGAUAUGAAAGACAACCCUUCCUAACCAUAUGCUGAGCCUUCAAGAAAGAGAUAACUCUACUAGGAACAUAAUUAGUCACACCUCACCACUCAAUUCGUGGUAUACCCGGCAUAGCCAAAGUGACUAUCUUAGCAUGACAAUCCAGAAUAGCUUGACACGGAGAUAACCAAUACAUGCCCAAAAUGACAUCAAAAUCGACCAUGCUCAAUAAUAACAGAUCCACUCAGGUCUCCAGGACCCCAAUAGUCACCACACACAACCAAUACACACAGUCUACAACAACAGUAUCACCCAUCGGGGUAAAUACAUGAACAGGUAAAGCAAGAAACUCACGAGGCAUACCCAAAUAACGAGCAAAGUAUGAUGACACAUAAGAAAAGGUGGAAUCGAGAUCAAAUAAUACAGAGGCAUCUUUGUAGCAGGCUGAAACAAUACCUGUGAUAACAACAUCUAAAGCAAUAACAUCGGGUCUGCUUAGGAGUGCAUAAAAACGGGCCUGACCGCACCCUGAUCGACCUCCCCCUCUAGGGCGACCCCUAGCUAACUGAUCUCCACCCCUAGCUAGCUGAGCGGGUGGUGGUGGAGAGACUGGCGCUGAAGCUGAUAACUGGACCCUCUACUGGGAUGACCAAGCAACUCGACGAGGACACUGCCUCCAUAUGUGGCCUAUCUCACCACACUCAUAACAACUCCCAAGUGUUGGAGAAGGGGACUAAAGGUAACCCCUCGCACCGGAGUGACUAGCAGAUGCACUCGGCAUAGAGGAACCCUGAACCAAUGGAGCCCAGGUCGAACUCUAAGCUAGAAGGGCGCUGAGUGAUGACUGGCCCUGCUGAGAUCCUUUUUAACCAUGACCCAAAGAUGCCCCAUGAUAACCUGGGUGAGCUAACUGAGCAGGCAAGAAUGAACGGCCUCUACUGUGCUGAAACUGGCCCCUCGAAGGUAGCCCUAAAUACCCUCUCCCUGGUCAUAAGAAUAUGGAGCUGAUAAUUAAGACAAUCAACAAACCUCCUGAUCCUCUCUCGAUCUGUCGGAACCAUCCAUAUGGCAUGACGAGCCAACUCAGAAAACCUCAACUCAUAUUGUGACACAGUUAUAUCCCCCUAUUGCAACCACUCAAACUGCCUAUGCAGCUCCUCUCUGCGGAAUUGCGGCACUUACUUCUCCAGGAAGAGAAUAGAGAACUGCUGCCAGGAAAGGGGUGCUGCACCAACAAGCCUACGCCUCUCAAAAUCCUCCCACCAGGUGAAAACAGCUCCUGAAAACUGAUAGGUGGUAAAAGCGACCCCGCUGGUCACCAGAUAUCGACAGUACAAAGUAUCCUCUGACACUUAUCCAAAAAUGCCCUGGUCAUCCUCGCCCUCUGCUCCACUGAAGUUCGGAGGCUAUAAUCUACCAAAUCUCUCCAACCUACGUUGCUCAUCCUCCGACAUGACAGGAACCACAUAGUCCUGAGUAGAUGCAACCAGCUGGGAUAGAUGUGCCCUAGAGUCUGAAGUCCCUGCACGACCUGCUCAGGUGUGGGAGCGGCGAGAGUCUGAUUGCCUCCCCCAACCUGUGAAGUAGCUGCAACUGUAGUGGCUGAAACAGCCUGAGCCAGGCCAGUGCAAACUGAUAAGAUUUGUGCCAAGGCAUCUUGAAGACCCAGAAUCAUGAUGGGCACAGCUGGUGGCUGAACUGGUGCUACUGGAGCAUCCAUAGCUGGAGCCUGAUCCUGAGCUGGGGCAGCUCGUGGAUCUACAGGUGCUGUUGUCGCUGCUCUGCCUCUGCCACGACCAUGACCGCAUCCACGGCCUCUUGUGGCCACAACUGCUGGAACUAGUUGUCGUCCACCUUGUCCGGUAGUGCGUGUCCUCACCAUCUAUGAGAGAAUAAAAUAGUAGAAGUUUAGUGCUCGUAUCAACAAGUUCGCAUGACCAGAAUUUCAAGAAUAUGAAGCUUUUCCGAAAGGUUCUGCUGCCUCUCAAGGAUAAAUACAAAUGUCUCCGUACCGAUUUGUGAGACUCUACUAAUCCUGCUCAUGACUCAUGAGACCUAUGCAACCUAGGCUCUGAUACCAACUUAUCACAACCCUAACCCCGAACCCGGUCGUGAUGGUGCCUCUCGUGAAGACAAGGCCAGCCAAUUAUACCCAGUUCACUUUUUAAAGAAGUUAUUCAACAUAAAAGUAGUCUAAACAUGAGUUAAUAAUACUAAACAACGGAAGAUAUCGAUAACAAUGCGGAAAUGCCACACGACACAGCCCUGACCGGGGUGUCACAAUUCAUGAGGGUCUAUAGGAAAAUAAUACAAGUCUGCUAAAUCCAUAAACUAGUACAAAUGUUUGAAGGAGAAAUAAAAAUGAUAAAAGAGUAGAGACACAGGGCUGCGAAUGUCAACAACUACCUCGUAGUCUACGAACGCUCGCCUGAUACUGGAGGAAAUUAGCACUCAGGAGCAGAACCAGCUACGCCUGAAUCUGCACACAGGGUGCAGGGAGUAAAGUGAGUAGUCCAACUUAGUGAGUAACAAAUGUAAAUAUCGACUGAAAGUAAGAAAACACGUAAGGCACAAGGCAUUCUAUAAUGAAGCAGUAAAAUCAUUUGAAAACAGUAAAAUAGUGAAAAGUCAAGUAAAAUCCUCUUUCAACAAGUAAAUAAAUAAUUGACAAAAAGUUAAGAUAAAGUUAACAAAUAGAAGUUCGCCCCUCGGGCAUAAUAUCAACAAAUCCGCCCCUCAAGCAACAUCUGUGAACUAUGCCAGCCCUUCGGGCUCAAUCUCAGAACAAUACUAGCCCCUCGGGCUCAAUCUCACAUCACAAUGGGUACCCUCGCUCACUGGGGGUGUACAAUCUCCUGGAGGGGCCCCUUACGAUCUAAGCGUAAUAACAAACCAUCUCGUGGCAUCAAAACUAGGCCCUCGGCCUCAUAUCAAUCAAGCCACCUCGUGGCGUACAUAUCUUAAGCCCUCAACCUCAAAUCAGUAUUAGUGUUUUCUCACAACAUAGGCCCUCAACCUUACUCAGUCAAAAAUACUCACAAUCCCCUCAAGCAAUAGUAAAACAGUAUUUCUCAGCCCAAAACAUCAUUUAAAAUAUCAUUUAAGUCUUAAAACUGAGUAAACAUGACUGAGUAGUAAAUACAGUUGAAAAUAACAUGACUGAGUUCAAGCAAUGAAUCAAAACAGUGAGAAAAUAGUAAUAAAAAUCCGCGAAGGGUUCAAAUAGUUGGCACGAAGCCUAAAUAUGGAAAUCAACCCAAAUCAUAAUGACAACAAAUAAGUUUCAGUCAAAUAUGCGGUAAAAUCAUCAACCGGGAUGGACCAAGUCACAAUCCCCAAUAGUGCACGACCCCACGCCCGUCAUCCAGCGUGUGUCUCACCUGAAUAUAGCACUACGAUGUGCAAUCCGGGGUUUCAAACCCUCAGAGUAUCAUUUACAAUCAUUACUCACCUCGAAACGGCUAAAUCUCUAGCUUGCGAUGCCUUUACCCCUCGAAUCGGCCUCCACACGCAUCAAAUCUAUCCAAAAUUAGAACGAGGACGUCAAAAUAAGCUAAGGGAACAAAGCCCAAGCGAAAACAAUCAAUAAAGGGCACAAAUCCCGAAAUUACCAAAACCUGACCCCUAGGUCCACUUCUCGAAACUCAGAAAUUUUCACAACAAUUGAUUCCUUCUCUCCCCACGAGUUCGUACAUAUCAAAAGUUCUCAAAUCCGACACCAAAUGGUCCUUAAAAUCCCAAAUCAAAAGAACAAUUUUUCAAGCCCUAUUUCUUCAAUUUUAGGAUUAGUUUUCAUGAUUUUCUAGGUGGAAUUCACAUAAUAAUCUAGUUUUUAGUCCAAGAAUCUUACCUCCCAACAAUUCCCCUUGAAUAACUCUUCAAUCUCCUUCAAAAAUUUCCCAAAAUGGCCAACUAUAGAGGAAAUAAACCCAAUCCUCAUGGAUAAGAUGAGUUUAAAACAUUUCUGCCCAGGCAUAUAUUUCCUUCAUCGCGAUCGCGGAACAUCCCUCGCAAUCGCGAAGAACAAAACUUCAGCUCCAAGAAUUUACUCUAUGCGAACGCGAUACAGCCUACACGAAUGCGAUGCCCAGGAAACCUUACACUACGUGAUCGUGGACACACCUCCACAUUCGCAAUGCACAAAGAUCCAUCCAAGACUCAGGUCCAUUUAACUCUAUGCGAACGCGACUACCCUCCCACGUUCGCGAUGAAUAACUUUCCCACACUAUGCGAUCAUGAGCCUCUCUUUGCGAACGUGAAGAACAACUGGACAGCCUCCUCAAAUCCUUCUACGUGAUCGCAAAGCACAAAAUCCUGCAACAGUUGAACCUGCAAUUUUCUGCAAUUUUUUCAACUUCAAAUGAUCCGAUUGACCACUCGAAACUCACUCGAGGCCCCCGGGACCUCACCCAAAAGCACCAACACAUCCUAAAACCUUAUUCAAACUUGUUCCAAUCAUCAAAACACCUAAAACUACAUCAAAUCACCCAAAACACAUCAGAUUCAAGCCUAAGUUUCUAAAGUCUCCCGAAAUAUGCUUUUGAUCAAAAACCCAACCAAACCACGUCCGAAUGACCUGAAAUUUUGCACACACAUCUCAAAUGACACAAUGAAGCUACUGCAACUCUCAGAAUUCCAUUACAACCCCUAUAUCAAAAUCUCGCCUAUCAACCGGAAAUCGCCAAAAUAUCAACUUCGUCAAUUCAAGCCUAAUUCUACUCCGAACCUCCAAAACCCAUUCCGAUCACGCUCCUAAGCCAUAAAUCACCUCCCAAAGCUAACCAAACCAUCGAAACUCAGAUCCAAGCCCUCUAACACAUAAGUCAACAUCCGGUUGACUUUUCCAACUUAAACUCCCUUAAAAGAGACUAAGUGUCUCAAACCUUACCAAAAUCAUUCCAGAUUCGAUCCGACCAACCCGAUACCAUAAAACAUGAAUAAUGAAGCAUAAAGAAGCAGAAAUGAGAGAAACGGAGUGGUAACUCAUGAGACGAAUGGCCGGGUCAUCACAAUUUUUACCAUUAAGCCUCUCUCAUUUUGUUCUUUCUCUCAACUUAUCGUCGCCUUAUGGUGCCUGUGAAGGUUUUCACCGAUAAGACUCUCUCAUUUUGUUUUUUUAUUUUUAUUUCCUCUGAUUCUGUAGAUGACAAGACACUGACCAUAGUAAAAAUAUCAUAUGCUCCUGGCAUGUCUAGCUCGACACUCUUAAAGAUUAUCUGGGAGGUCUUUUUGGACUUUAAUGUGGCUUUUGGACAGGGAUAGAAAGAAAAGAUAUCAUAAAGGCUCAAAAUAACUAAAACAACGAGGUUAAUUAACUUACAACUUUUGGAAUCCAUUCUAAAACUUUGUCCCAAUUUCUAAAACAAGGGAAUUUGAUUCUUUUUUUCUCUUUUUCUUUUUGAGACGGUAUUUCUAAGAAAGACUGCCCCACUCUCGACUUUGUGGGAUUAUGAAAUAUUUUAUUUGGUGCAACUGAACUUUAAGGCUGCCGACAUAUCUUUUGGUGACAAGAAUCAGGUCGAACGUAGUUCAAAAGGAUGCUUUCUAUUUGUUGCUAUUUUUCUUUUUUUCUCUCUUUUUUUCUCUUCUUUUUUUCUUUUUCCUUUUUUUUCUUUAUCUCUAUUUUUUUCUUCUUUUUUUUCUUUUAAAAUUUUCCUUUUGGAAUGAACUUUCUAAAACAAACCUAUGGGGACAUGAACUUUUUUUGCACUAAACUCGAUUCAAAAAGACGGGAGGUCAAGAAAAUUAACAUAGGCUCAAAAGGGGUACCGAAUGGUAUAAAGUGUUUGGGUAGCUGAAAGAGGGCCUCCCAAUCCCUGAAAAAGCCAAGUACGACACAUGAAACUUGAAAAUUAAAAAGGAAAAGCACACACAACAUUUCUUUUACAGCUUCGGCAUUGAUAUCACUGAUAUGCUUUCCACUUUUUUUCUGUGCCUUAUCAAGUACAAAACUCCUAUUGGGUGAUUCUUCUUCACGACGGAUAUCCUCCAUUUGUUUGGAGAAAACUCCCUUGGCUUUAUCUCGUAACAUGAGAUACACUUGAACUCAAAGUUGCUCGCUUCAAUAUGUCUGAGAUGCACUCUCUUGCAACAAAUUCCUGUCAUACUAUUAACUUCCCAGAUUAUCUGCCUCAAUUUCACACAAUUCGGGCUUUAAAUGAUCUCAAGAUGUCCAAAUUUUUGCCUACUUCCCUCAAAUGUCCCGAUCAUUUUCAAAAUUGUUUCAUUACUUCAUAACUAAACUAACUUUUAAAACUAGGCUGAGAAUUACGCGUACAUGUCAUGUCACUAGAAUCAGCAUGAAAAGACUAUAAAAGGAAAAAAGAACUAAACAAAAACUGACUCAAAAUAACAGAAAAUAGGAAAUUGCAUUAGACAGACGGUAAAAGGGUUUGAACAACUAAACAAGCAAAAUACACUAGGGUUACAACCCUGGAAAAACCUAAAUAGCACUAAAGGGUACUACGAUUAAAUGAACUAAGCAAAAUAAAAGGUUAGAAAGGUUUGAAUCACAAGACAAUAUCCAGAUUACAACCCUGAUAUAACCCGGACAAUAGAAAUGACAACGAAAUAAACCACCAAGACUCCUCCCCGGCUAGCUAAGAAAGAAGCGUCUUUCCAAUUACCAAGCUCGGCAUCUUAGCCACUGAGUUCCACAUAAAUAUUACCAAGACCAUUACCAAUUUCAAUAUCACCAAAUUUAUUCAGCAAGUUCCCAAGAGGAUUCUUAUACUCCCUAUCACCAUGUAUCAUCCCUACAAAGUGUGCGUCAUCAUGUGCAGGUAAAGGAUUUUGCACGAUAUUCUGGGUGUAACUGUCCUCGAUCACAAUUAUCCCUUCUUGAAUCAUUCUUUCUAUUUCCCUUUUCAAAGCAAGACAAUCUUAAAUGCUAUGCCCUUGGACAUUAGAGUGAUACAUGUACCGUACAGUAGGAUCAAAACUUUUUGCAUAUGGGUCCGGAGUAUAGCCGAGGAGCGGAUCAAUCAGGCUAGAAUAUUUUACCUUUUCAAACAGGCUUGUGUAGGAUUCUCCGAUUGGUGUGAAUCUAUUUCUUUGUCUUUGUUCCCCUUCAUGCCCCAGUUUUAUAGGGUUGUUAGGUUACGAAGGCAAAAGUGCAUUAUGAUUGCUGGCGAUCUCCAUAAGGAGUGACCCAAUGGUUGGACAGAUGACCGGAUGUUGUUUAGAGGAUAAUACUGGGGUGGAUUAUGUGGAGCUCGAGGAUAGGUUUGGGGUUGGGAUUGAGGCUGAGUAUAUUGGUGAGGCGGACCCGUUGGACCAUGUCGUGAUCCUGAGACAACCAUGGCAACAUCAUCAUGUUCCUUUUGACCCAACAAGCUUCCCGUGUUGUUCUGAAUUGCUUGUGUUAUGGCUUUUAAAGCAGAAUAGCUCAUGAUCUUGCUCGACAUCAGCCCCUCUUCUACCAUUUCUCCCAUUUUUACCACAUUAUUAAAAGGCUUACCCACAACCGAGAUCAAAUUCCCAAAGUAAGUUGGCUCUUGAGCUUGAAGAAAGUACUCAACCAUCUCGUCUUCUUCCAUCAGGGGAUUGACUCGGGCAGCUUGCUCUCUCCAUCUGAGCAUGUAUUCCCUAGAAAUUUCACUAGGCUUCUUUUCCAUCUUGGUGAGGUACAUGCGAUCUGGGAUGAUUUUAUAUUGUACUGAAAGUGCCGGGCAAAGGCCUGAGCCAUAUCGUCCCAUGUGUACUACCUGCUAGCGUCUUGACGGGUGUACCACUAUAGAGCUUCCCCACUCAGACUUUGACUAAAAUACGCCAUCAAUAAUUUGUCCUUCCUAUCGGUACCUCUCAAAUGGGCCACACGAUCUCCAUGUCCGUCAUACAAGUCAAACUUUGGAAUCUUAAACCCAGUAGGUAGUUGGAUGUCAGGAAACAAGCACAAGUCUUUGUAAGACAUGCUCAUAUGGCUCCCUAUCCCUUGCAUGUUUCUUAAGACCGCUCUAAGAUUUUUACCUUCCUAGAUAUCUCAUCGUGCUCUACUGUCUUAGCAGGUUUUUCAUUUUCAACGGAGGCUCAAAAUGAGGAACGUGGGACUAUGGAUCCGAGACUUUGAAAGUUGGUUCUGGAGCAUAGUAUUGGGCAUCAGGGACUUUGAACACGGUGUCGCUAGAGGAUUGAGGAAAAGUAGCUGGUGGAGGAGCUACAAAAACAGGAGUUGUCAAAGGAGCAGGAUAUGAGGUGGUUUUGGCAGGUGGAGUGUGAAAAGGUUGUGGAAAAAUAUCAGCAGCAGUAUGAAGCCGGAUUUGUGAUGGUGGUGGAAUGGUGACGAGGCUUUCAGUGUAGUUAGUGGGAACUAAUGGUGGAGGAUGCCCACUAAUCCAGGCUUGGUAUAUUUAAGUCAUCUGUCCUUUCAACCUUAAGGCCUCUUCUUUCAACUUAGAUUCUGAUUCAAUAAUUCCCUUGGACGAACCAACAACACUUGUGUCCAAGUCUUUGUUAACCAUGGCUACCUUGCUCUUUGACCUUUUGUUGUAUGGAAGAGUUACCAGUUUAAGAACCAUAAAACAACCACCCUUCUGCUAUAAUGAAGAUAGUGAAGAGGAACAAAAUGAAGUCAUCAUGUUAGCGUUAGGGCAUUUAACAACUAAAAAUAUCACAUUGCGUGCAAUGCAUCCAACAACAAUUAACGGUUCAACAAUGAUUUCGAGGGUCACAAGGUCACUUGGCAUCAUCCCAAUUUGUACAUUUCAAUCUUCUCUUUUCUUUUAUUUUCUAGCACUUCUUGGCUUUCUCAUUUUCCUUCCUCUUUUUUUCUAAUUGUCACUCAUUUCUUUCCUCUCAUUUCUCACAUCCCAUAGUUUCCCCUUUUUUUCCUUUUUUUCUUCUUUUUUUCCUUUUUCCUUUUAAUUUUUUUUAAAAAAUAAUUCAAUCGAACCCUAUGUAGUUUGCCUACGUAUCGCUCCUCGAAAGACGAAAAAUAGGUAUGCAUAGUUCGGGAAAAUCGGAUAGGGAGAGAAUUUAAAAAAAACACUAAUUUGAAGUAAAUAUAUUUUUCUCUUUUUCUUAAAAAAUGAUGAAACAUGUAAAAUCUUUUUGGAUUUACUUUUUCUCUUUUUUUUUAUUUUUGAAAAAAUGAUGGGGAAAGUGCAAAAUCGUUUUUGAUUUUUUUUUGAUCUUUUCUUGAAAAAGUGUGAAAGAAAAUUAUAACUAGGCCCUACUUGCUUUAUUUUAUACUUCAACCUUUUUUCUUUCUUAUUUACCCUCAACCCUCAUUGGUCCGCCAAAUAACCCCUUUUACCUUUGAGGAUUGCAACAUGUAGUACAUAGGAAGCAUGAGAAUGGUCUUUUAUUUUUUGGGUACACCUGUCCUAGACGGAUCCAACCCCUGUGUUGAGUCCCUCAAGUCAAAUGCACGUGAUGCAAACAAACGUUCCAACUAGGGUUCCGGCAUGAGGCUAUGUUAUUCUUGGUUUAAAACCCGGGUGUAUUGUUCUAGACCUGGCUUACCCAAGCGGACAACUCAAGCCGGAGGGGGGAGGGGCAGCGUACCAGUAACCAAAAUAUCAUCCGACUUUGCAACUUAUAAAUUAAGGAUAUGAAACUAACAGAAAAGAAGUCACACCAACAUGCGCUUCCUAGAAGAUUUAGAAGAGAAGGGUUUCACAGCAGUUUAUAUACAAUCAAAUAAUAUCAAAGCGGUAAAAAGCGACAUUUAGCAUAUUAGGCCCAAGCAUGUAGUAAAACUCAGAUAAUAAAUAAAAGCCAAAUAUAACAAUUAUUCUAAGCUCAAAUUUUUGAACCCUGAACCAGAGAUUCUGUCUUUGAUCCCCAGCAGAGCCGCCAGAGCUGUCACACCUCCUUUUUCUACCCGAAAGGGGAUAUAAGGGAGUUUUUCAAUUAAAGUGACAAUAAUCGAAAUUGGGUUAUUUAUUCAAAUUCAGAGUCUUCACUUGGGAUAAUAUAUGGUGUCCCAAGUCAUCGGUUUAAAAUCUUGAAUCGAGGAAGUUGACUCUUAUAUAUGGUCUGUGAACACAGAAAUCCCGGUAAGGAAUUCUGUUUACCCAGGAGAAGGUGUUAGACAUUCCCGGCUUUCGUGGUUUUAGCAAGGUCACAUAACUAUUAAUAUUGGCCUAAUUAUCUAAUUUAUUACAUAUCUAGAACCUAGCAUGAAUUUUUAAACCUUUUAAAAAGCGUUUUUAAUUAUUUAUGGAAUUAUUUCUGGAACAAGUUUCGGUUGUCGUACACUUGUAUUUUUGUACCCAUGACGAAUCAUGUCACGGGAACCGUACCCAUGAUCUACAAUAUAUUUAUUUCUUAUUAUUAGAAGUUAAGGUCGGGUCACAUGAAAUGUACACCCGAAUGGGGAUUAUGUAUCAUGACUAUACCAUGGGAACCGUACCCAUAGUCAUGAUUUAUUUAUUAUUCGCGCCUAAAGCAAAGUACGAUGUUUAUAAAUUAUUUUCUAAACUACUUUGAGAUUAUUUCAAGGCCAUGAUCUAUAGAAUUAUUGAAGAAGAGCAUGAAGUAAAUUAAUUUAGGAAAGAUAGCUAGCUUACGAUGUUGAUGGGCUUGGUAGACUAAAAUUAAUUGGCCCAAGAUUUCCAAGUCAUUAGAAUUCAACAGUCCACUUAUACUAUUCAUCUAUAUAACCUGUUAUUCCAUCAAACAAACCUAAGUAUUUAAAUAAAUACAGUACAAUAUUUAAAGCACGGAUCAAGGUGACCUUUUUUAUCCACAAUUAUCUUUCUAGCAGAUUCAUAAAAAUAUAUAUUCGAAAUAACUCUAAAUACUAAAAUAACUUAAUGAAUAGUAAUAGAAGCAUGAGAACAUUUAUGGAUCAAACUAUACAUGGAACAAAAUAUUUAUUACUUAGUUAGAAUCUAAAAGAAUUUGACCUAUCAGUGAAUGCCCUUUUUUCUUCCUCUUAAUCAAGUUAAAUGAAUUAUAUACUAGUGAUCCAACAAUAACCUUUACUGUUAAAUAAAAAGCAUAUGAAGACAAUAUAAGUGACAAUCAAAUGAAUACAUUGAUAAUCUUAAACCGAUAACUUUAUUUCACUAAAUUAAUGAACUGAAAUUGUAAAAAAAACAGGAGUUGAAUCUAACCUUCAAAGCCGAGUUUGAACAUUGUAUUAAAUGAAUUGAGUCGUAAAUAUAAACUUAGCAACUGAACAAUUCUGGACCGGAGAUUUUGUCGGCGACAACGAGCGGAACCAGCGACUGGAGACCUCAAACGGCAAUCUCAAACAAACCUCAAAUCAGUAGCUUCGAACGUAUCUCACUGGAUUCAACUCGACUGAGCUUGGAUGACGGUUUUGGGCGUCACAAUGGCUGUUUUAUGAUGGAUUUCAAUCUUUGGCUACUCUUUGGUGUUUCGCUGGAUUUCUUGCCAGAUCUGUCACCUUCCGUCUCAACAUUAACGGUCAGAAAUUGCUUAACAAAGGAGCUUCGUUUGGGUGGUGGACAGUUGGUCUAGACGGAUUUGUUAGUCCAUUGACAGCUGGAGAUGGUUGGCUAUUUUUGUUGGUUUUUGGGUGGCAGAAUGGAGGUGGAGAUGAGGUGUUCUAGUUGUUGUGGUGGUCGUGAGUGAGAGGUGAAGAAGCAGCAGUGGCUGCUUGUUAUCGGUCACUGGUGUUCCUUUGUCUCUAGGUUAGUGAAGGUGUGUUCUAGGUUGUGAAAAUAUUGAAGAAGAACGACUGAAGCUUAGAGAAGAAGAUAGGAUUAUGGUUUUUUU